rnacentral:rRNA from 1 species
UACGUAGGGAGCGAGCGUUGUUCGGAAUUACUGGGCGUAAAGAGUGUGUAGGCGGCGCUCUAAGUUCGGCGUGAAAUCUCCUGGCUCAACUGGGAGGGUGCGCCGGAAACUGGAGUGCUUGAGCGUGGGAGAGGAAAGCGGAAUUCCUGGUGUAGCGGUGAAAUGCGUAGAUAUCAGGAGGAACACCUGUGGUGUAGACGGCUUUCUGGGCCAUAGCUGACGCUGAGACACGAAAGCGUGGGUAGCAAACAGG